GACGAACGCUGGCGGCGUGCUUAACACAUGCAAGUCGAACGGAAAGGCCCUGCUUUUGUGGGGUGCUCGAGUGGCGAACGGGUGAGUAACACGUGAGUAACCUGCCCUUGACUUUGGGAUAACUUUAGGAAACUGGGGCUAAUAUAGGAUAGGAGCUCCUGCUGCAUGGUGGGGGUUGGAAAGUUUCGGCGGUUGGGGAUGGACUCGAGGCUUAUCAGCUUGUUGGUGGGGUAGUGGCUUACCAAGGCUUUGACGGGUAGGCGGCCUGUGAGGGUGACCGGCCACAUGGGGACUGAGGUACGGCCCAGACGCCAAUGUGAGGCAGCAGUGGGGAAUAUUACGCAAUGGGCGGAAGCCUGAUGCAGCAACGUCGCGUGCGGGAUGACGGCCUUCGAGUUGUAAACCGCUUUCGCCUGUAACGAAGCGUGAGUGACGGUAAUGGGUAAAGAAGCACCGGCUAACUACGUG
rnacentral:rRNA from 1 species